GGGGGGGGGGGGGGGGGGGGGGGGGGGGGGGGGGGGGGGGGGGGGGGGGGGGGGGGGGGGGGGGGGGGGGGGGGGGGGGGGGGGGGGGGGGGGGGGGGGGGGGGGGGGGGGGGGCGCCCCGGCAGCCCCGCGGAGGGUGUGGGGGUCCCUGCCGGGGGCCGCCACCCCCCGUCACACACACACCCCCAUAUGGGCCCUGGGAAAUGCGGGGCUGCAGGGUCUGCACCCCCUGUGCACACCUGUGCGCACCUGUAACACCUGUGCACACCUGUACACGCCUGUACAUACCUGUACACAGCUGUACACACCUGUGCACACCUGUACAUACCUGUAUCACCUGUAAAUCCCUGUACACAUCUCUGCGCACCUGUAACACCUGUACAUACCUGAAACACCUGUGCACACUGUACAUACCUGUGCACAGCUGUAAAUACCUGUACAUACCUGUAACACCUAUAAAUACCUGUAAACAGCCGUACACACCUGUAACGCCUGUACAUACCUGUAACACCUGUAACACGUGUGCACAGCCGCACACACCGCACACCUGCACGCACCGCGCUCGCUGCCCGCUCCAGCGCCCCGCCCGGGGCAUUUGGACACUUCUCGGGGCCGCGGCUGGUCCGGACCGAACCGAACCGAACCGAACCGAACCGAACCGAACCGAACCGAACCGAACCGAACCGAACCGAACCGAACCGAACCGAACCGAACCGAACCGAACCGAACCGAACCGAACCGAACCGAACCGAACCGAACCGAACCGAACCGAACCGAACCGAACCGAACCGAACCGAACCGAACCGAACCGAACCGAACCGAACCGAACCGAACCGAACCGAACCGAACCGAACCGAACCGAACCGAACCGAACCGAACCGAACCGAACCGAACCGAACCGAACCGAACCGAACCGAACCGAACCGAACCGAACCGAACCGAACCGAACCGAACCGAACCGAACCGAACCGAACCGAACCGAACCGAACCGAACCGAACCGAACCGAACCGAACCGAACCGAACCGAACCGAACCGAACCGAACCGAACCGAACCGAACCGAACCGAACCGAACCGAACCGAA
rnacentral:lncRNA from 1 species